UACGUAGGGUGCAAGCGUUAAUCGGAAUUACUGGGCGUAAAGCGUGCGCAGGCGGUUUUGUAAGACAGGCGUGAAAUCCCCGGGCUUAACCUGGGAACUGCGUUUGUGACUGCGAGACUCGAGUGCGGCAGAGGGGGGUAGAAUUCCACGUGUAGCAGUGAAAUGCGUAGAUAUGUGGAGGAAUACCGAUGGCGAAGGCAGCCCCCUGGGUCGAUACUGACGCUCAUGCACGAAAGCGUGGGGAGCAAACAGG
rnacentral:rRNA from 1 species